AUGGUUAAACUAGUUUACAGUCCCACCAACAGUGUAAAAGUGUUCCUAUUUCUCCACAUCCUCUCCAGCACCUGUUGUUUCCUAACUUUUUAAUGAUCACCAUUCUAACUGGUGUGAGAUGGUAUCUCAUUGUGGUUUUGAUUUGCAUUUCUCUGAUGGCCGGUGAUGAUGAGCAUUUUUUCGUGUGUCUGUUGGCUGCAUAAAUGUCUUCGUUUGCGAAGUGUCUGUUCAUAUCCUUCGCCCACUUUUUGAUGGGGUUGUUUGUUUACAUUAUCUUUCUGACAUCAUUUAAAAUAUUAAACGCUUUAAUAUAUGGCACCUUUAAAAUUGAGUCAGAGCCUUUUAGUGAAAGAAUCUGUUUUCCUAAAAUAGAAAUAACUUUAAUAUUUAAUAGCUUCAGGUUUAUACACUCCAUUUUU
rnacentral:lncRNA from 10 species